rnacentral:rRNA from 1 species
GACAGAGGAUGCAAGCGUUAUCCGGAAUGAUUGGGCGUAAAGCGUCUGUAGGCGGCUUUCUAAGUCCGCCGUCAAAUCCCAGGGCUCAACCCUGGACAGGCGGUGGAAACUACCAAGCUGGAGUACGGUAGGGGCAGAGGGAAUUUCCGGUGGAGCGGUGAAAUGCGCAGAUAUCGGGAAGAACACCCGUGGCGAAGGCGGCUCUCUGGGACGGUACUGACGCUGAGACGCGAAAGCGUGGGGAGCGAACAGG